GGCCUGUUGGUCCAGGGGUGUGAUUCUCGCUUUGGCUGCGAAAGGUCCCCGGUACGUUUCCCGGACAGGCCC